rnacentral:rRNA from 1 species
GAUGAACGCUGGCGGCGUGCCUAAUACAUGCAAGUCGAGCGAACGAACGAGAAGCUUGCUUCUCUGAUGUUAGCGGCGGACGGGAGAGUAACACGUGGAUGACCUACCUAUAAGACUGGGAUAACUUCGGGAAACCGGAGCUAAUACCGGAUAAUAUUUUGAACCGCAUGGUUCAAAAGUGAAAGACGGUCUUGCUGUCACUUAUAGAUGGAUCCGCGCUGCAUUAGCUAGUUGGUAAGGUAACGGCUUACCAAGGCAACGAUGCGUAGCCGACCUGAGAGGGUGAUCGGCCACACUAGAACUGGAACACGGACCAGACUCCUACGGGAGGCAGCAGUAGGGAAUCUUCCGCAGUGGGCGAGAGCAUGACGGAGCAACGCCGCGUGAGUGAUGGAGGUCUUCGGAUCGUAAAACUCUGUUAUUAGGGAAGAACAAAUGUGUAAGUAACUAUACACGUCUUGACGGUACCUAAUCAGAAAGCCACGGCUAACUACGUG